rnacentral:lncRNA from 1 species
CUCAUUUUUUCUCUUGCUGCCACCAUGUGAGAAGUGCAUUUCACCUCCUGCCGUGAAUGUGAGGCCUCCUCAGCCAUGUGGAACUGAUUCCCCUGACCUCUACAACAAGUUUGGUUGUCUCAUAUUCUCUCCAGUUCCUUAGGCCAGCUCAAGUUUUAUCAGUAUCUUUUGGACCCAAUGAGUCCUUCCUGGCCUCACUCCAGAAGAAGACUGGCCUCAGUCCAGAGAAACAAAAAAUGUGAAAUUCACCCACUGGAACUCUCCUUCUCCAAGUAUCAGUCUCCUUCCAGAAUUUCCGGCUUCUGGUCUCUUUUCAAGGAAUUUAGAAGCCAAAGAACAAAUUUAAAAGAAUUUGUCCUCUGGAGAAAGUGAAGAUUAAGUCA